AGUAGUUUGAUCCUGGCUCAGGACGAACGCUGGCGGCGUGCUUAACACAUGCAAGUCGAACGGAGAACUUAUUUCGGUAAGUUCUUAGUGGCGAACGGGUGAGUAACGCGUGGGCAACCUGCCCUCCAGAUGGGGACAACAUUCCGAAAGGGAUGCUAAUACCGAAUACGAUCCCUCCACCGCAUGGAGGAGGGAUGAAAGAUGGCCUCUGCUUGCAAGCCAUCGCUGGAAGAUGGGCCCGCGUCUGAUUAGCUGGUUGGUGAGGUAACGGCCCACCAAGGCCAUGAUCAGUAGCCGGUCUGAGAGGAUGAACGGCCACAUUGGGACUGAGACACGGCCCAAACUCC
rnacentral:rRNA from 1 species